rnacentral:lncRNA from 1 species
UUCUCUCAGAUCUCUAACUUUUCUUUACUUUUUUUUUUCAAGUUUUCUUUUUUCCGAUUUUCCACCGUCUUUCACCCUUCUCCACAUCGAUAUUUAUACCCGAAAUUCAGACGUGAAAUUUCGGAUUUAAACACAAGAUAAAAAUUCCAAUGGAUGAAACUCCAUAUGGAGAAAAACCCCAUUCAACAACCAAAUUUCCCAGCUUUUUGCCAUCCCUUUUGGUGAUUUUCGGACUUCAAAAACUCGGAUUUGAAAUUGAUUUUGAGUCAUUGCACCAAACUGGGACCUGUUUCUUUCUGAUUUUGUGGAUUCGAUGGGUUGGACGUUUAGAAAAGAGAGAGAUUUUCUGACAGGGAUGUCAGCCACAUCUGCCAUGGCCUCAGGCUAUAGUGAUUUUGGGGUUUUUUUAUUCAAGGGGUAGAGGAGAAAGGAAGAGAUGAGAGGGGGGAGAGAGAGGUCGCCCA